rnacentral:rRNA from 1 species
UACAGAGGGGGCAAGCGUUAUUCGGAAUUAUUGGGCGUAAAGGGCGCGUAGGCGGCUUGGCAAGUGGAUGGUGAAAUCCCUCGGCUUAACCGAGGAACUGCCGUCCAAACUGCUUAGCUUGAGACCGGGAGGGGUGAGUGGAAUUCCCAGUGUAGCGGUGAAAUGCGUAGAUAUUGGGAGGAACACCAGUGGCGAAGGCGGCUCACUGGACCGGUACUGACGCUGAGGCGCGAAAGCGUGGGGAGCAAACGGG